UACGUAGGUGGCAAGCGUUGUCCGGAAUUAUUGGGCGUAAAGCGCGCGCAGGUGGUUUCUUAAGUCUGAUGUGAAAGCCCACGGCUCAACCGUGGAGGGUCAUUGGAAACUGGGAGACUUGAGUGCAGAAGAGGAUAGUGGAAUUCCAAGUGUAGCGGUGAAAUGCGUAGAGAUUUGGAGGAACACCAGUGGCGAAGGCGACUGUCUGGUCUGUAACUGACACUGAGGCGCGAAAGCGUGGGGAGCAAACAGG
rnacentral:rRNA from 1 species